CAUGCUUGGGUGUUCAUCCAGUUCAAGGACUUCCACCAGAAGACCAAAGAAGUGUCACACUAAAGGUAACAGUCAUACAAAACAGGAACCAUUAAAAACAAACAAACGAAAGAAUUAUUUGACUCAGUAAUCCUCCUCUUUCUAAUUUAUAUUCUCAGGAAAUAAUCCAAAAGAAGGAAACAUUACCUUCUUUAACAAAGAUGUUUGUUGCAACAUUAUUCGUAAUAGAGAAAAAGUAGAAACAGCCUAGAGGUUCAGAAACAAAGGAAUCAUUAGUUAAGUUGUAGAGUGUUAAAUAUAAUGCAUUUAUAGAAAAUGAGGAUUAUAAAGUAUUAUAGCACAUGGAAAAUACUUACUGUAUAAUAUAGGGAGAAAAGCAGGAUACCAAAUAGCAUAUUCACUAUGAGUGACAUCUACAUAAGCAUAUAUUCAUAAGGAAAAGACUGCAGAGAAAACACAGAAAUGAUAGUAAUUGUGAUGAUCUGUUAGAAUUAUCUGUAACUUUUUUCACAUUUUUUUGGUACUGUAGUCAUGUUGCUUUGGCAAAAAAG
rnacentral:lncRNA from 1 species